rnacentral:rRNA from 1 species
AUUGAACGCUGGCGGCAUGCCUUACACAUGCAAGUCGAACGGCAGCAUGGGUGCUUGCACCUGAUGGCGAGUGGCGAACGGGUGAGUAAUGCAUCGGAACGUACCCGGAAGUGGGGGAUAACGUAGCGAAAGUUACGCUAAUACCGCAUAUUCUGUGAGCAGGAAAGUGGGGGAUCGCAAGACCUCGCGCUUCCGGAGCGGCCGAUGCCGGAUUAGCUAGUUGGCGGGGUAAAGGCCCACCAAGGCAACGAUCCGUAGCGGGUCUGAGAGGAUGAUCCGCCACACUGGGACUGAGACCAGGCCCAGACUCCUACGGGAGGCAGCAGUGGGGAAUUUUGGACAAUGGGGGCAACCCUGAUCCAGCCAUGCCGCGUGAGUGAAGAAGGCCUUCGGGUUGUAAAGCUCUUUCGGCCGGGAAGAAAUCGCACAGGUUAAUACCUCGUGUGGAUGACGGUACCGGAAUAAGAAGCACCGGCUAACUACGUGCCAGCCGCCGCCGUAAUAC